CGAACCCGGGCCGCCAAAGUGGAAUGUGCUGAACUUAACCACUAUGCUCCCAGGGGUGGCCUUUGGCAUCUUUUCCAUCAAGCUGUGUUUCCAGAUUGCUGGUGGCCUAGUUGGAUAUGAGCAAAGAAAGAGCACCUUUGAGAAAUGAAGAGAAGCAGAAGAGAAAAGAACAGGAAGUGUGCUUGGUCCCUUGCUUACCCUAUUGACUUGGACUUUCAUCAGACUCAAGCUAGACCCGCUCUUAGCUUGUUUCUAAGUGUUUACACAUCAUCUGAGUCUGUCAGCAAGAAAGGCAGAAACUGAAGCAACUUUUUCUGUAUUAGAGAAUUCUGCCGUUCAGCCCUGCGAGAGCCCCUUACCUGCUGCGUCUCCCAUCUCCAAGACAGAGACGGAACACCUGUUCCUCCCCACUGCGCAAGUAGUUGUGGUUGAUGCCAUGUUGCCUCUCCCUGUAGGGUAAGAAAGGGAAUAGAAUGAGAUUACUGAAGAGUCAUGGCUCUCUGUGGAGGAGGAAAAGGGUUGGAAGUCAUCAGGUAUGAUCUUGCUGUUGAAAGUGUAAUUCGUGGGCCAGCAGCAUCAGCUUCGCCUGGGAGCUUGUCAGAAACGCAAGAAUCUCAGGCCCCAGCCAGACCUACCACAUUGGGCUCUGCAUUUUAACAAGAUCCCAGAAGCACCAGAGCUGCUGGAGUGGAAAUAGAUGGCCAGCUGUGGCCAGCCUGGCCCCACGAACCUCCAUCUUGCCUUCAAGAUGCUCUGCGCUCUGAGGAACACAAGCAGCAAGUAAACCAUGGGGUAGCUCACAAACAUCCCUCAUUUUACUAAGGCUCGGGGAGACUCACGUAGUCUGCUCACGGUCAUGUAUGAGGUCAAAGGCAAAGCCAAGUUUUGACCUCAGUUUUCUUGACUUGGACUCCAGUGCUCCUUCCAGUUUACGUCACUGCUGCAUGACAUGUUUGGAGCGGCAGUCAGCGCCAAAAGACUGUAAACUCUUCACAGGCUGGGGUCGGGUUUAACUUCUUCACUGCUGUAGAUUUCUUGACGUGCAGCAGGCCCUCAAGAAAUGCUUGUUGAAUAAAUGAAAUAUACAAUGUC
rnacentral:lncRNA from 1 species